GGCGGCAUGGCCAAGUGGUAAGGCAGGGGACUGCAAAUCCUUUAUCCCCAGUUCAAAUCUAGGUGUCGCCU
rnacentral:tRNA from 1 species